rnacentral:rRNA from 1 species
AGUGAACGCUGGCGGUAGGCCUAACACAUGCAAGUCGAACGGCAGCACAGUAAGAGCUUGCUCUUACGGGUGGCGAGUGGCGGACGGGUGAGGAAUACAUCGGAAUCUACUUUUUCGUGGGGGAUAACGUAGGGAAACUUACGCUAAUACCGCAUACGACCUACGGGUGAAAUCAGGGGAUCUUCGGACCUUUCGCGAUUGAAUGAGCCGAUGUCGGAUUAGCUAGUUGGCGGGGUAAAGGCCCACCAAGGCGACGAUCCGUAGCUGGUCUGAGAGGAUGAUCAGCCACACUGGAACUGAGACACGGUCCAGACUCCUACGGGAGGCAGCAGUGGGGAAUAUUGGACAAUGGGCGCAAGCCUGAUCGAGCAAUACCGCGUGGGUGAAGAAGGCCUUCGGGUUGUAAAGCCCUUUUGUUGGGAAAGAAAAGCAGCAGGUUAAUCCCCCGCUGUUCUGACGGUACCCAAAGAAUAAGCACCGGCUAACUUCGUG